rnacentral:rRNA from 1 species
ACGGGAGGCAGCAGUGGGGGAUAUUGCACAAUGGGGGAAACCCUGAUGCAGCGACGCCGCGUGAGCGAUGAAGUAUUUCGGUAUGUAAAGCUCUAUCAGCAGGGAAGAAAAUGACGGUACUUGACUAAGAAGCUCCGGCUAAAUACGUGCCAGCAGCCGCGGUAAUACGUAUGGAGCAAGCGUUAUCCGGAUUUACUGGGUGUAAAGGGAGCGUAGACGGCUUUGCAAGUCUGAAGUGAAAGCCCGGGGCUCAACCCCGGAACUGCUUUGGAAACUGUAGAGCUAGAGUACAGGAGAGGUAAGCGGAAUUCCUAGUGUAGCGGUGAAAUGCGUAGAUAUUAGGAGGAACACCAGUGGCGAAGGCGGCUUACUGGACUGUAACUGACGUUGAGGCUCGAAAGCGUGGGGAGCAAACAGGAUUAGAUACCCUGGUA